UGGGGAAUUUUGCACAAUGGGGGAAACCCUGACGCAGCGACGCCGCGUGCGGGAUGAAGGCCUUCGGGUUGUAAACCGCUUUUGAUUGGGAGCAAGCCUUUUGGGUGAGUGUACCUUUCGAAUAAGCGCCGGCUAACUACGUGCCAGCAGCCGCGGUAAUACGUAGGGCGCAAGCGUUAUCCGGAAUUAUUGGGCGUAAAGAGCUUGUAGGCGGUUCGUCGCGUCUGGUGUGAAAGCCCAUCGCUUAACGGUGGGUUUGCGCCGGGUACGGGCGGGCUAGAGUGCAGUAGGGGAGACUGGAAUUCCCGGUGUAACGGUGGAAUGUGUAGAUAUCGGGAAGAACACCAAUGGCGAAGGCAGGUCUCUGGGCUGUUACUGACGCUGAGAAGCGAAAGCGUGGGGAGCGAACAGG
rnacentral:rRNA from 1 species